rnacentral:tRNA from 1 species
UUAAUUGAAACCAAAAAGAGGUAUGUCACUGUUAAUGACAAAACUGAGUUUUAUACUCCAAUUAAA